UACGUAGGGUGCGAGCGUUUGUCCGGAAUUAUUGGGCGUAAAGAGCUCGUAGGCGGUGUGUCACGUCGGCCGUGAAAACCUGGGGCUUAACUCUGGGCGUGCGGUCGAUACGGGCAUCACUAGAGUUCGGCAGGGGAGACUGGAAUUCCUGGUGUAGCGGUGAAAUGCGCAGAUAUCAGGAGGAACACCGGUGGCGAAGGCGGGUCUCUGGGCCGAUACUGACGCUGGAGGAGCGAAAGCGUGGGGAGCGAACAGGA
rnacentral:rRNA from 1 species